rnacentral:rRNA from 1 species
ACAGAGGCGGCAAGCGUUGUUCGGAUUUACUGGGCGUAAAGGGUGCGUAGGCGGUUCUGUGUGUCGGAUGUGAAAUCUCACAGCUCAACUGUGGAAUUGCAUUUGAAACUACAGGGCUGGAGUACAGGAGAGGAGAGCGGAAUUCUUGGUGUAGGGGUGAAAUGCGUAGAUAUCAAGAGGAACACCGGUGGCGAAGGCGGCUCUCUGGACUGAUUCUGACAGUGAGGCACGAAAGCUGGGGGAGCAAACAG